rnacentral:lncRNA from 1 species
CAUUUGUAGCAUUGCUCCAGAGAAAACAAACGAUGUUGAGAUUGACCUUGCAGCCAAGGUUUUGAUGAAGAUGAAGACAACGUCGUCGCCAAUGUCAUGAUCACGAACAAGAUGAAAGAAAGAAAGCUUGUUGCUCCCAAAAGAAACGAAAAAGCUACGUAAGCUUCAGUUUCUUGAACAAUAUGUCUAGCCUUACCAUGCCUACUCCUGCAAGUCCUGUAAGUAUUAAUUUUCACAGUAUCAGUACUCAAUCUUUAAUUUUCUUUCACUUUUCUAAUUAAUGUCUUUAUUUUCUAACCGUAUUCUUUAAUUAAUUUGUCACAGACAAAGGGAAACGAGCUAGGGAAAGAAGCAAAAGUACCUCUACCAAUACUAAAUUAAACAGUUUGCACGACGAGGGAUAUUUUGUCGCGCAAAGCAUUCUUAGGUCGCACAAAAACUAUGGCGACCAGAAAUUCGUCGUGCAAAGGUCGUGAAAAAAGACAUUGCGCAACAAAUAAUUUCAAAUUCGUCGUGCACCUAAACAAUUGCUCGAUGGUUUAGUACUCGUCGUGCUAAUGUUAUACGGACAAAGGUUUUCGUCAUAUGAUAUAAAAGGGUACAAGUGCGCUUUUGU